rnacentral:rRNA from 1 species
AAACUAACAAGGAUUCCCCUAGUAGCGGCGAGUGAAGCGGGAAAAGCUCAAAUUUGUAAUCUGGCGUCUUUCAGGCGUCCGAGUUGUAAUCUAUAGAAGUGUUUUCCGUGCUGGACCAUAUCCAAGUCCCUUGGAACAGGGUAUCAAAGAGGGUGACAAUCCCGUACUUGAUAUGGCCACCAGUGCUCUGUGAUACACUCUCUACGAGUCGAGUUGUUUGGGAAUGCAGCUCAAAAUGGGUGGUAAAUUCCAUCUAAAGCUAAAUAUUGGCGAGAGACCGAUAGCGAACAAGUACCGUGAGGGAAAGAUGAAAAGCACUUUGGAAAGAGAGUUAAACAGUACGUGAAAUUGUUGAAAGGGAAACGAUUGAAGUCAGUCGUGUUCUUUGGACUCAGCCGGUUCUGCCGGUUUAUUUCCUUUGAACGGGUCAACAUCAGUUUUGUCCGGUGGAUAAAGGCAGGAUGAAAGUGGCUCCCUCGGGAGUGUUAUAGCUUUCUGUCACAUACACUGGAGGAGACUGAGGACUGCAGCUCGCCUUUUGGCCGGGGUUCGCCCACGUUCGAGCUUAGGAUGUUGACAUAAUGGCUUUAAACGAC